rnacentral:lncRNA from 1 species
UGGCCCCUCGCGGCUCGCCUCUCGACCCGCUGCCUCCUGCUCCUGGAGCUCAAAUUAGCUUCGCGUUAAUUAACACCCGAGUCCAUCAAGGCGGGUUCCUCUGUACAGUACUCGCAGCAGAGCUUAUAUAGACAACUUACACACCCAGCCAAAGCAAACCUCCCCAAAUCCAACACUUCCAGCAUGUCCAAACUGGGAAACAGGCGGCAGAGUAACACGGGGCAAGACGCCUAAAGGAGCCUGUUUGUGUGCUGUGUGGCCACGUUCUGCUGUGACUGGAUCUUGUCUUCUGCCUGGCUCCUCGAUUUCAUUCCGGCUGGAUUUGGGGACAACACUGCUUGGCGCAGACAGAUCAAAUGACACUUCAAAGAAGCAUAAAAUGAACAGACUAUUCAAACAAAGACCGGGGCAGCAGUACGCCAGCAAGAGGGCAUGUUCUGCCCGCCUAGAAGUCCUAAGAAAUCGAGGAUCUCCCUUAAAACAUUCACAUACAAGAUAUGUGCAAUCAAGCUGCCUGCACUUGGUAAAAAAGAUCAUGAUGCCUAACCCAAUGAUCCGGAGCAGAUCUUUGAAUCAGCUGUCACUUCUAUAGAUGGGAUUUCCCCCUUCUUCCUCUUUAACCAGCGUUGGAAACUGCCGAUGGCUUUAUACAUCUCAGUAGAGGAAGGCUAAAGAAUCUUCCGUGAGAAUGAAGCAAUUUACAAUGCAAAUAGAGGCCUGUGAAGAGAAGGACACUGCUGCUCACCCCCAACAGCUUGCUGCACCUUAGUCGCUGGUCUUAAUUUCUGAUACUCAUAGAUGAAUUGUUGGCUAACGAUACUGGAGAUUACUUGCUGGAAGGGGAAAAGUUUGGAAUAAACUCUGAAUGCAACAGAUCUCA